UAAAGCUCCCAGCACUUUUCAUGGUGCAGUCAGGGCCCACAAGGGAGGACUACGAAUGCUGUUUCCAGUCGUACAGACCCACAGUGAGCAGCAUUGUUUCCCUGGAUUUGAAUCCCUUUCCUGAGUGCUGGGACCACAUGCACGUCCAGGUGACUUACAGACAGUCAACAAACCUGAUGAUCAGCUGCCAGCAACCAAGAGGAUGAGUACCAUCACCAGAGGGAUGACCCGAACAGCUGAAAAAAUCAGACCAGAUGCCAAUAAUUCGAGCAGGCUCAUGUA